CCUAAAAUCUAAAUCCUAAAAUCCUAAAAUCCUAAACACUAAACCCUAAAAAUCCUAAACCUUAAACCUUAAAAACUCUAAACCCUGAAUCCUAAACCCCCUAAACCCUAAAUCCUAAAUCCUAAAUCCUAAAAUCCUAAAAAUCUGAACUCUGAACCCUAAACCCUAAAUCCUAAAUCCUAAAUCCUAAAACCCCAAACCCUAAAACCCUAAACUCUAAAAUCCUAAAUCCUAAACCAUAAAUCCAAAAUUUAAAAUCCCAAAAAUCCAAAUCCCAAAUCCCACACCCUACAUCCUAAAUCCUAAACCCU
rnacentral:lncRNA from 1 species